GGGAUUUAGUCGGAAGAACAUCACACAUUUAGAUGCAUUUAGUGAUAUAAACAUCUGUCUGAUUUGGAGUUAUUGUUUUGGAAUGUUUUUGAUUUUGUCAGCUGCUCUAGAUUUGAUAUGAUUGAUUAGUCUCUGUGUUGGUAUUUUGUGCAAAAUUUUAGAACUAGCUUUCAAGUUGAUCAAUGAGUUGUAGAGAUCGCAUAGGCAAAACCAUAGUCAUAUAAAAGUUAGGUUAUAUGUUCUGUGUCAAACCUACCGACCAACUACCUUUAGCUGAAUUAUAAAUUAAGUUUUGCAUUGAAAUCAAUUCUUGUAAUCUCGUAUAAUGGGAAUCAAUCUAGUUUCUUGUUAGAUUCUGCUGACUAAUACUGAGAAAACCAAUAGAUCUUCUCUAUUUUUGUCGUAAACAGGUUACAAAGUUAACAAUUAAAAACAGAAUAUAUAAACAAGAUAUUUCUCCAAAUAUUGUCUUCUUGUUCUUAACUCUUAAGAAAUAAAUAUUUUUUUCUUAUUUCUUACAAAAAUAUGCAGUUAUUAUUGAAAGAUAUAUUUCUUUUUUUUAAUAACAAUUUAAAGAAUAAUUGUUUAUUUAUUUAAUCCUCAAAUCUAUGUUCUUAUCCUUGAGAAAUAAAUAUUUAGUAAUUUUAUUAUUGGAAGAUAAAUCUCUUUCCUAAAUAAUUAUUAAGAAUUAUAUGAUAUUUACUUUUGAUAUAUUUUUUUAAUAUUGUCCCAAAAAAAGGGUGUUAACAGAUAAAAAGAUCACUUUUCUUAUUUAUUUGAGUUGCACACGCAGUGGUAUAUAUAUAGAUUCUCCUCUAAAGCCACUGAAGUCGGAGAAAGGUAAUGGCGUCGGGGAAGCUUCCGUGGGAGUUGGAGGAAGAGAUAUUGUGUCGGCUUCCACCUGGAUCUCUUGUUCGGCUAAGAUCCGUAUGUAAACACUGGAACGAUCUUUAUAACGACAAAUGGUUCAUCAAGAAAAGCUUGGGUUUUGCACGUCCCCAAUUCAUCAUCCUGGCCGGAUUCAAGAUUUAUUCGAUAGGAACCAUCGGUCUGGACGUCGUUGAUCCGAAGAUAGAGGUGCGUGAGCUAGCCUCAAUUUCAUUUUGAGGCUGAGAAGUGGGCAUUUACCAGGAUCACGGCUUGCAAUGGAUUAUUGUUUCGUGACUUUUGGAACCAAGGGGUUACCAUUUGGAAUCCAUGGUUAAGACAAGUUGGGUGGAUUGAGUAUAAGGAGGACAAAGAUUUCCGUUUUUGCGGUAUAGGAUACGAUGCUGGUAAACCCGAAAAGGGUUACAAGAUCUUUGGGUAUUUUAAUCGUUUCUAUGACACUAAACUGAAAAUCGGCCACAGAUUUGCGAUCUUUGAAUGUGCGUCUCAAGCGUUUAAGUUCAUUGAUUCCCCUGAAUGGCCAACGCUGGCAGGUCGAGGUGAAUAUGUGUCCUUGAAUGGAAAUUUGUAUUGGACUGCUUACAAUGAAGAUACUCGUGAGCAUUUUCUUGGAAGCUUUGAUUUCUCCACGGAAAUAUCCAUGCACUUUUGUCUCCUUCCUUGUGCGAAGCAUGUUUCUGGCUUACAAGAUAAACUUGUCCUCACUGUAUUUAAGGGCGAUCGGUUUGCAUUGUUAAAGCAAUCUCGUAUAUCAAGUAAUACAGAGAUUUGGGUAACAAAGGACAAGAUUAACUCUAGUAAUAACGUGGUGUGGUUAAACUUGAUGACACUGUCAAUACCUGACUUUCCCUCGCUAUUCCAUCAGCUUUCUGAUAUUAGUUACUUCAUCCAUGACAUGACCCUUAUCCUGUGCUGUGACGACAAUCAAACUGGAGUGGGUUGCAUCUUUAUUGCGAGGGGAGACUUGUGCAAGAAGAUUCAAAUAAAUUAUGUCUCUCUUGGGUUUUCUCAAUGUGUCUAUCUUCCAAGUUUGACCUCGGUUCCUUUGGAAUUCAGAUCACUGCAAGUUUAGAAUUUCGAUUUUUCGAGUACAAACAGUCUUUGAAAUGUGAUUCUGUUUUCAUUUCUUUUAUAUAAUAAUAUUCUCUAGUCUCUAUGUGGAUUGGUUUAGUACAUGAGCCUUCUUGACAUCUUUUUAUAGCUUAAUGAUCUAUAGGCAUCUUGUGUCAUGUUGUGUAGAUAUAAAACAAAAGUACCCUAGAAAAAAUAAUAAUCCAAAAUAGUUGUAGCUAGGUGACUUGGGUUUUAGACGCACACAACAUGAUAAAGAGAACAUAACGUUGAUGAGGACUAGUGAAACGUCCCACGUCCUUCACCUUGUGCUUUAUACACAAUGUCGCAGAGAAUCAUUCUCAAGAGCAAGCCAAAGCUAGACACAAUGUUACAGAAGCUAUGCUUAAAUGAUUGGGCAUUGAUGUCAAUGCUGUGGCCAUUGAUGAGGUUAAACAGAUAUCAACUUGGGUUAUAUGGUUUGAAGAAGUUGGUGUCUCGCUCGAGAUCACCAUUACUCGAAAAGCUGGUAUCUAUCUCUGCUUUUACCACCAUUAUCUCUGUACGUUUUCUCCAUCUCUUCUCUUGGAGCAUACAAAGGUCUAAAUGUGUCUGUUGGAUGAGCUUUUUUUUUUUGACAUUCUUAGAUCAAUUAGUAAAUAAAGUUCUUGCCUGGAUGGGAUUUACUAGCAAUUUUAUCUGAAAAAAAUUGUAAAUCUGCAUGUGGUUAACUGUGCACCACCAUCCUUUAAUAGGUGAAUUCUCCAGUGUUGAUGGAAUGUGAGGGAGAAGAUGAAAAGCAACUCUCGAGUGUAUGACUAUAUGAAAUUUUUAUGCCCUCUAUUUAUGCCCUCUAUUUUUUUGGUAUAAUCACAAAUAAUAAUAAUAUAAAAGAUAUACGUACUAAAACUUUAUAGAACAUUUAAAAAAAAAUUAUAAGCAUUUUGUAAGAAAAAAAUGAGCAAAA
rnacentral:sRNA from 1 species